rnacentral:rRNA from 1 species
UACAGAGGUCCCAAGCGUUGUUCGGAUUCACUGGGCGUAAAGGGUGCGUAGGCGGUCGGGUAAGUCUGACGUGAAAUCUUCAAGCUUAACUUGGGAACUGCGUCGGAUACUAUUCGGCUAGAGGAAUGGAGGGGAGACUGGAAUACUUGGUGUAGCAGUGAAAUGCGUAGAUAUCAAGUGGAACACCAGUGGCGAAGGCGAGUCUCUGGACAUUUCCUGACGCUGAGGCACGAAAGCCAGGGGAGCAAACGGG